CUGCAAUAUAAAGUCGUUUCCGAAAUGCCACGUAGGUCUACUUAUAUCAGUGCAUUCAACCUAACAAUUUCGAAACUUCUAUUCGAUAAAAUAAGCCUCAGGUAGUAAAUUAGCAAAUACAUUUUUUUUUACAUACAAUUCCAUACAAAAAUUCCUCACUUCGUGGAUUUAUUUCGUGGAAAGAUUUUAGGUGGAGUAAAAUCUCUCGCUCCGCCUUUUCCUCUCUGUUCUAGCGCAGAGCUCGGUGCUUCUAGCAAGUGUAAACAAAAGGAAAUUGACAUCUUGCAGUCUUGCAUAUCUUGGAAAGGCAAUCGGCGGAUCAAGGUUUUUACUUGUUGAGUAAAUCGCUAGCUAUAUUUACAUACUAGUGUGUUAUUUGAGUAUUCAAUUUUUGUGUAUAUCCUCGCGCAUUUUAACUUGAGCUUCAGAUUGAGCAGAAGAAGUGGAAGUCAAAACAUGGUGGAGACACGCACAGUACGGUUAGAGUCCUUGGAUGACAGCUCCGAUGAUGAACCCCUAAUUGCAUUAGUAAAGAAGAAGCCGCAGCACAUUGAACACAAUGGGACUCAGGGUGAAAAAGACCAGAACCGACAACCUGAACCUGAGUCAAAGAAUAGCACUAGAAAAGAUUCUGGGUUGGAUGACACCUCAGAUGAUGAGCCCUUGACGAAGUUGCUGAAUAAACUUUCCAGAGCUAAAAAAGCCACCGUACAAGCAAAGAGGCCAGGGACUACUGAUAUCAAAAGAGGAACAGGUAAUGGCAUCAAGAAGACAAACAACAAAUUCACAGGUGGGAACCCCUCUCAAGCUCCUCAACAUGUAGGCUAUGCCCUGAAUAUUGUACAACACACACACAAACCCACACACUACUAUUCUGAAUGGAAGGAGGUAUCAAUUGAUUUAGUCUUUGUCAUAAUUGUAGGUUCAACCCAGAAUGAGGACUCCUAUGAUAGCUCAGACGAUGAGCCCUUGAUAAAGAUGAUUAGAAAGAUCCCUAAACAGACAUCAUUGCCAUUCAAAAAGAGACCUUUCAACACAGCCAGAGAGAUGAACGAUGUGAAGAAGCGCAGAAAUAGCUCACAGAACACUAAUAAAAUAAGCACAGAUUCAUCAUCAGGUGACAGCUCAGAUGACGUGCCCCUGAUUAACAUGGUCGACAAACUCAAGACACAAAUGCGAACGAAGACACCCACCACUACAGCCAGAAAAACACCUGGCAUUAAAAAGCCCAGAAAAGUUUUUAAAAAACACAACAGGAGUAUAGAGACCUCAGAUGACAGCUCUGAUGAUGAGCCAUUAAUAAAUCUGACCAAGAAGUUUCCAUCUAAAGGGACUGAAAGGACAAUACUGAAGAGGUGUGUCACUAAGGAAUCAAACAGCAACAACUGUAAUAAAAUUGAAGGGAAAAUGAGCAGAGAGGAAGAGGUGAGUUCUGAUUCUGAUGAUAAGCCCUUGAUAAAUCUCGUCAAGAAGCCUCUUAAAGUUGUAAAGAAGACCAUGACACCAUUAAAGAAGAGGAGCGUAUCAGGAAAGACUGUGGUAGCCAGAAAGAAGACGAGACCAGACAUUAGGAACAAAGCAGUCAUCAGACGGAGCACCAAAGUUGUUCAAAGAACACGUGAAGGGUCUUUGGAUGACAGCUCAGACGAUGAGCCCUUGAGUAAAAAGAUGGUGAGAAAUCCACAAAUGAAGAGCCUAAUGGUGAUUCUGGAGAGAUGUGACACAAAAGAAGUCUUGGAAGAUAACUAUAGAGCCAACGUGGGAAACACUGGUAAAAGAAGUGCAGGGGAUAAGGAGAACUCCGAUGAUGAACUCUUGAUAAAGAUGGUCACGAAUCCCCCUCAUUCUUCACCAGAAACUAUGGCAGAGAAGGAAAAUAAGUCACAAACUGCCCUUACGAUGAACCUUUGAUAAAGAUGGUUGGAAACCCAAAGUCAUGUUCAAGGGAUAUUAUAGAUACUGGAAUAGUGACUUUGUUUUGGGAAAACGUUGAGUAACAAAUUUGCCGGGAAGAUGGCACAAUUGUUACUGACACAACAACCCCAUUUUUUAUUGCAUGAGUUUACAGUGUUAUGGUGAAAAGAAAUAUGUGAAUUGUCUAAAUAUUUUGGUGAUCUGGAAUCACUAUUUUCAUGUUAGAAUUUUUUAGUGUUUUAAAUUUUGUAACUUUUUCUAUAAUUUUUUAAAUAUUUUUUUUACCACUUGGAUGCUGGUGGUUUCAUGUCUAUAGCAUAUUUAUAACCAUGCAAAAUUUGACUCACUCAAUAGGUCAAAUUUUUAAUUGUUGCCAAUACUGUCUCCAGCAUAAUGAAUUAUAGAGUACAUUUGUGUGAUCGAAUGCAAUACCUUCCUCCCCCCUAUUCCUUUUGACUGGAAUGGGCCAGCACUGGAAGCAGUACUAUACAUUGUAAAUGUUCAGUCCAAGUAUAAGGGCGCUGCCAUUCAAUUGUGAGAUUACAUUUUUUUUUUUGUAUUAUUAUUCAUGAAUUGAUUUGUUUUCAACAAUUUUAUUAAAAGAACAGAAGUUUCCCA
ensembl:lncRNA